UACGAAGGGGGCUAGCGUUGCUCGGAAUCACUGGGCGUAAAGGGUGCGUAGGCGGGUCUUUAAGUCAGGGGUGAAAUCCUGGAGCUCAACUCCAGAACUGCCUUUGAUACUGAAGAUCUUGAGUCCGGGAGAGGUGAGUGGAACUGCGAGCGUAGAGGUGAAAUUCGUAGAUAUUCGCAAGAACACCAGUGGCGAAGGCGGCUCACUGGCCCGGUACUGACGCUGAGGCACGAAAGCGUGGGGAGCAAACAGG
rnacentral:rRNA from 1 species